GACGAACGCUGGCGGCGUGCUUAACACAUGCAAGUCGAACGGAAAGGCCCUGCUUUUGUGGGGUGCUCGAGUGGCGAACGGGUGAGUAACACGUGAGUAACCUGCCCUUGACUUUGGGAUAACUUCAGGAAACUGGGGCUAAUACCGGAUAGGAGCUCCUGCUGCAUGGUGGGGGUUGGAAAGUUUCGGCGGUUGGGGAUGGACUCGCGGCUUAUCAGCUUGUUGGUGGGGUAGUGGCUUACCAAGGCUUUGACGGGUAGCCGGCCUGAGAGGGUGACCGGCCACAUUGGGACUGAGAUACGACCCAGACUCCUACGGGAGGCAGCAGUGGGGAAUAUUGCACAAUGGGCGGAAGCCUGAUGCAGCAACGCCGCGUGCGGGAUGACGGCCUUCGGGUUGUAAACCGCUUUCGCCUGUGACGAAGCGUGAGUGACGGUAAUGGGUAAAGAAGCACCGGCUAACUACAUG
rnacentral:rRNA from 1 species